GCUUCUGUAGCUCAGUUGGUUAGAGCACUUCAUUAGUAAUGAAGAGGUCCCGAGUUCGACUCUCGGCAGAAGCU
rfam:Phaeodactylum tricornutum CCAP 1055/1 chromosome 4, whole genome shotgun sequence.